rnacentral:tRNA from 1 species
GCACAUGUGGCUCAGUUGGUAGAGCAUGGUGUUUGCAACGCCAGGGUUGUGGGUUUGAUUCCCACGGGGGGCC